GACGAACGCUGGCGGCGCGCCUAACACAUGCAAGUCGAGCGAGAACCGGGGCUUCGGCCCCGGGGAAAGCGGCGAACGGGUGAGUAACACGUGGGUAACCUGCCCUCGGCACCGGGAUAGCCCGGGGAAACUCGGAUUAAUACCGGAUGGCCUUCCGUGCCCUCGGGCGCGGAAGAAAAGGUAGCUUCGGCUUCCGACCGAGGAUGGGCCCGCGGCCGAUUAGCUAGUUGGCGGGGUAACGGCCCACCAAGGCGA
rnacentral:rRNA from 1 species